CUGAAGCAACUGAGUAGA
rnacentral:snRNA from 1 species